ACUAUGUCGAAGCUGGGAUUUCAGAGGUCUCUCAUGCUUACCUAGAAUAUUAAAAAAGGAGUGGACAAGGGAACUGGAGGGGUUACAUUGAUUGGAUAAUUUUGCAACCAGAAUCUUAAUCUUCAUCUUGCAGGAGGUUUUGAUGACUCAGAUCUCCUUGAUGGGAAGCCUUUACCACCGGUCAUAACAGGAGAAGAGGAGCAUCAUUUCAAUCAUGGAGGAAACACAGAUUCAGGAUUAAUAGCUGGAGUUACAUCGCCUGUAAUUUCUGCCUUUGUAAUAUUGGUUGUUGGAUCCAUAGCAGCCUACUCUGCUUACAAGAAUAAGAGACUUUGUUUCAAACCACGUGGUAAGACCAAAUCAGUUUCCCACUGA
rnacentral:lncRNA from 1 species